rnacentral:tRNA from 1 species
UCUCUUGUAGCUCAGUUGGUUAGAGCUUCCAUUUCUAAACCGGAAGUCUUGGGAUCGAAUCUCUAUUGAAGAA